AAGAAGUUUACAUUUAUUAGCCCUUUUACUCCAAAUAGUGGAAUGUGCCAUUACCAUUCACCUCAUUCAUUUUUGGGUGAUUGAGAAUGUUUAUCAGUUUAACUAAAGGUUCUAUAGCUUACUAUUCUAUUCUUACAUUAGAAAGUCUCAUUCCACAAUAAUAGUUAUACGAUUGGAUCCUUUGCAAUGCUCUUUUUCGUAUAUAAGCUGGUGAUUUUUCACCUUGUAAAGGAAUGUACAUGCUUUUUCUUUUAUGAUGAAAAGUAAUGCUUACAAACUUAUGUUUUUGCUCCUUAUGCAGCUCGGCAUUGGAACUGUCCCAGUGCUUCUGCAAAAGGUAUUUCUUCAUUUAACUAAAGGUUCUAUAGCUUACUAUUCUAUUCUUACAUUAGAAAGUCUCAUUCCACAAUAAUAGUUAUACGAUUGGAUCCUUUGCAAUGCUCUUUUUCGUAUAUAAGCUGGUGAUUUUCACCUUGUAAAGGAAUGUACAUGCUUUUUCUUUUAUGAUGAAAAGUAAUGCUUACAAACUUAUGUUUUUGCUCCUUAUGCAGCUCGGCAUUGGAACUGUCCCAGUGCUUCUGCAAAAGGUAUUUCUUCAUUUACUGAUGAGGUCUUUUCUGUGCUAGAGAGACUAGAGCAUUUAAAAGAGGCAAACCUCAUAUAUGUACUAUAUUAGUAUAUACUAGGGUUUUAGAAGGCUGCCAUGGCGUUCUCACUCAGCUUUCAUCCCUUGCCUGGCACCUAGAAAUUACGUGUGUAAUGCUAGGAUAUGCUACUACAUUAU
rnacentral:lncRNA from 1 species